UUGGGGCAAAAUAGUGACUAGCCUGCUUGGGGAAAAAGAGACCAACAUUUGAGGUAAAAUAAAAUUUGCUUCUUUUUACCCAAAAACUUUUUACCGUGGGUGAAAAGAUUCUUCUUGGGUAUAAAAAGAACUAGAUUUAAAUUUACCCCAAGUUGAUUAUGUCUUUUUCCACAAGAUGGUUGGUCACUAGUUUGCCCCCA
rnacentral:pre_miRNA from 1 species